CAGUGUUCCUGCUCCUCACUGCCCCCUCGCGCGCGCCGUCUGUAGUGAAGCUGGGCGCCAGAAUAUGACAUCAUAUUCCGGCACCCGGCAUUCACUAAACUGCGCGCAGGAGGGAGCAGUGAGGAGCAGAUAAAGAUAUUCUCAGGGAGAUGCCCCACAUUGGCUCCAAAAGCUAGGGCGCAAUAAACAAAAGUAUGUGUGUGCAAGAAUGUGUGUGUGUGUGUCUGUCAGUGAGUGUCUGUGUGUCAGUAAGUGUGUGCAUGUGUGUCUCUCAGUGUGUCUGUCGGUCAGUGAGUAUGUGUG